rnacentral:rRNA from 1 species
UACAGAGGUCUCGAGCGUUAGGCGGAAUCACUGGGCUUAAAGCGUGUGUAGGCGGAUCGUUAAGUGCCUUGUGAAAUCCCACGGCUCAACCGUGGAACUGCUUGGCAUACUGGCGGUCUUGAGCAACCUAGGGGCGAGCGGAACAAAUGGUGGAGCGGUGAAAUGCGUAGAUAUCAUUUGGAACGCCAAUGGUGAAAACAGCUCGCUGGGGGUUUGCUGACGCUGAGACACGAAAGCUAGGGGAGCGAAUGGG